AUGGGCUCGCGCGCGCUCGCCGUGCUCUGCCUCGUGGCCGUCCUGCUCGUGCCCGCGCUCGCUGUGCCUGGAGGCGGCGACGACGGCUGCGAGGCGGAGUCGGCCGGGCGCGACAAGGCGCAGGCGCUGCGGCUCAAGAUCAUCGCCAUCUUCUGCAUCCUCGCGGGGAGCGCGAUCGGGGCGGGCCUGCCGUCCCUGGGGCGCCGGUUCCCGGCGCUCCGGCCGGAGACGGACCUCUUCCUCGCCGUCAAGGCCUUCGCGGGCGGCGUCAUCCUCGCCACGGGGAUGGUGCACAUCCUGCCCGCCGCCUUCGAGGCGCUGCGGUCCCCGUGCCUCGUGGGCGGGCCGUGGAAGCGCUUCCCGUUCGCCGGGCUGGUCGCCAUGCUCGCCGCGGUCGCCACGCUCAUCGUGGACACCGUCGCCACGGGGUACUUCCACCGGACGAACGCCAAGCGGGCCGCCGCCGUCACCGACGAGCCGGCGCAUGACGACCCGGAAUCCGCCCCCGACGGGCACGCGCACGGCAUGUCGGUGCUCGCCGCCCCGCCCGACGGCGACGAGCUCGUGCGCCACCGCGUCAUCUCUCAGGUGCUGGAGCUGGGCGUGGUUGUCCACUCGCUCAUCAUCGGGAUGUCGCUGGGUGCCUCCGACUUCCCGAGCACGGUGCGGCCGCUGGUGCCGGCGUUGACGUUCCACCAGCUCUUCGAGGGCAUCGGCCUCGGAGGCUGCAUCGUUCAGGCCAAGUUCCGGCUCAAGUCCGUGGUGGCGAUGGGUCUGCUCUUCUCGCUGACGACCCCGGCGGGGAUCGGCGUCGGCAUCGCGAUAUCCUCGGUGUACGACGAGAGCAGCCCGACGGCGCUGGUGGUGCAGGGGCUGCUGGAGGCGGCCGCGGCGGGGAUCCUGGUGUACAUGGCGCUGGUGGACAUCCUGGCCGAGGACUUCAGCAAGCCCAGGGUGCAGAGCAGGGCGCGGCUGCAGCUCGCGCUCAACGUCUCGCUGCUGCUCGGGGCCGGCCUCAUGUCCCUGCUCGCAGUCUGGGCCUGA
rnacentral:rRNA from 1 species